rnacentral:rRNA from 1 species
UACGGAAGGCAGCAGUGGGGAAUAUUGCACAAUGGGCGCAAGCCUGAUGCAGCCAUGCCGCGUGUAUGAAAAAGGCCUUCGGGUUGUAAAGUACUUUCAGUCGUGAGGAAGGUGUUAAGGUUAAUAACCUUAGCAAUUGACGUUAGCGACAGAAGAAGCACCGGCUAACUCCGUGCCAGCAGCCGCGGUAAUACGGAGGGUGCGAGCGUUAAUCGGAAUUACUGGGCGUAAAGGGCACGCAGGCGGUUAAUUAAGUUGGAUGUGAAAUCCCCGGGCUUAACCUGGGAAUGGCAUUCAAGACUGGUUAGCUAGAGUCUUGUAGAGGGGGUUAGAAUUCCAUGUGUAGCGGUGAAAUGCGUAGAGAUGUGGAGGAAUACCGGUGGCGAAGGCGGCCCCUGGACAAAGACUGACGCUCAUGUGCGAAAGCGUGGGGAGCAAACGAGGAUUAGAUACC